rnacentral:tRNA from 1 species
UGGGUUGUGGCUCAGUGGUGGAGUACUCUCCCAGCACGUGUGAUGCACUGGGUUCAAUUCUCAGUACCAUAG